UCCGUAGGCGGGCGUCUAAGUCAGUGGUGAAAUCUUACAGCUCAACUGUAAAAUUGCCAUUGAUACUGGAUGUCUUGAAUUAGUGUGAAGUGGUUAGAAUGUGUAGUGUAGCGGUGAAAUGCAUAGAUAUUACACAGAAUACCAAUUGCGAAGGCAGAUCACUAACACUAUAUUGACGCUGAGGGACGAAGGCGUGGGGAGCGAACAGGAUUAGAUACCCUGGUAGUC
rnacentral:rRNA from 1 species